UACGAAAGGUGCGAGCGUUAAUCGGAAUUACUGGGCGUAAAGCGCGCGUAGGUGGUGUGUUAAGUCGGAUGUGAAAGCCCUGGGCUCAACCUGGGAACUGCAUCCGAUACUGGCACGCUAGAGUGCAGUAGAGGGAGGUGGAAUUUCCGGUGUAGCGGUGAAAUGCGUAGAGAUCGGAAGGAACACCAGUGGCGAAGGCGGCCUCCUGGACUGACACUGACACUGAGGUGCGAAAGGCGUGGGGGAGCAAACAGG
rnacentral:rRNA from 1 species